rnacentral:rRNA from 1 species
CUUCGGGGUCAGCGGCAGACGGGUGAGUAACGCGUGGGAACGUGCCCUUCGGUUCGGAAUAACUCAGGGAAACUUGAGCUAAUACCGGAUACGCCCUUAUGGGGAAAGGCUUGACUGCCGAAGGAUCGGCCCGCGUCUGAUUAGCUAGUUGGUGAGGUCACGGCUCACCGAGGCGACGAUCAGUAGCUGGUCUGAGAGGAUGAUCAGCCACACUGGGACUGAGACACGGCCCAGACUCCUACGGGAGGCAGCAGUGGGGAAUAUUGGACAAUGGGGGCAACCCUGAUCCAGCCAUGCCGCGUGAGUGAUGACGGCCUUAGGGUUGUAAAGCUCUUUUCUCCGGGACGAUAAUGACGGUACCGGAGGAAUAAGCCCCGGCUAACUUCGUGCCAGCAGCCGCGGUAAUACGAAGGGGGCUAGCGUUGCUCGGAAUCACUGGGCGUAAAGGGCGCGUAGGCGGCUGAUUUAGUCGAGGGUGAAAGCCUGUGGCUCAACCACAGAAUUGCCUUCGAUACUGGUUGGCUUGAGACCGGAAGAGGACAGCGGAACUGCGAGUGUAGAGGUGAAAUUCGUAGAUAUUCGCAAGAACACCAGUGGCGAAGGCGGCUGUCUGGUCCGGUUCUGACGCUGAGGCGCGAAAGCGUGGGGAGCGAACAGGAUUAGAUACCCUGGUAGUCCACGCUGUAAACGAUGAAUGCUAGCCGUUGGUCUGCAUGCAGGUCAGUGGCGCCGCU